rnacentral:rRNA from 1 species
UACGGAGGGUGCAAGCGUUGUUCGGAAUUACUGGGCGUAAAGGGCGCGUAGGCGGUAAUGUAAGUCAGAUGUGAAAUCCUUCGGCUUAACCGAAGAACUGCAUCUGAAACUGCAUAACUAGAGUACAGAAGAGGGAAACGGAAUUCCCGGUGUAGAGGUGAAAUUCGUAGAUAUCGGGAGGAACACCAGUGGCGAAGGCGGUUUCCUGGUCUGAUACUGACGCUGAGGCGCGAAAGCGUGGGGAGCAAACAGG